CCUACGGGAGGCUGCAGUGGGGAAUUUUUCGCAAUGGGGGAAACCCUGACGAAGCAACGCCGCGUGGAGGAUGAAGGCCUUCGGGUCGUAAACUCCUGUCGACCGGGACGAACGUAGUCUGGCCCAAUACGCCGGGCUAUCGACUGUACCGGUAGAGGAAGCUCCGGCUAACUCUGUGCCAGCAGCCGCGGUAAUACAGAGGGAGCAAGCGUUGUUCGGAAUUACUGGGCGUAAAGGGCGCGUAGGCGGCCUCGUAAGUCCCGUGUGAAAUCCCUCGGCUCAACUGAGGAACUGCACGGGAAACUGCGAGGCUUGAGUUCGGGAGAGGGAAGCGGAAUUCCGGGUGUAGCGGUGAAAUGCGUAGAUAUCCGGAGGAACACCGGUGGCGAAGGCGGCUUCCUGGACCGACACUGACGCUGAGGCGCGAAAGCUAGGGGAGC
rnacentral:rRNA from 1 species